AGAUUGAACGCUGGCGGCAUGCCUUACACAUGCAAGUCGAACGGCAGCACGGGAGCAAUCCUGGUGGCGAGUGGCGAACGGGUGAGUAAUAUAUCGGAACGUGCCCAGUCGUGGGGGAUAACGUAGAGAAAUUUACGCUAAUACCGCAUACGAUCCAAGGAUGAAAGCGGGGGACCGUAAGGCCUCGCGCGACUGGAGCGGCUGAUAUCAGAUUAGCUUGUUGGUGAGGUAAAAGCUCACCAAGGCGACGAUCUGUAGCUGGUUUGAGAGAACGACCAGCCACACUGGGACUGAGACUACGGCCCAGACUCCUACGGGAGGCAGCAGUGGGAAUUUUGGACAAUGGGCGAAAGCCUGAUCCAGCAACGCGCGUGAGGGACGAAGGCCUUCGGUUGUAAACCUCUUUUAGUAGGAAGAAGCGAAAGUGACGGUACCUGCAGAAAAGCACCGGCUAACUACGUGACCAGCAGCCGC
rnacentral:rRNA from 1 species